GACGAACCGAGCGAACGUUGUUCGGAAUCACUGGGCUUAAAAGGCGCGUAGGCGGGCUGCCAAGUUUGGGGUGAAAUCCUCCGGCUCAACCGGGGAAGUGCCUUGAAUACUGGCGGUCUGGAGGGAGGUAGGGGCGUGCGGAACUGUAGGUGGAGCGGUGAAAUGCGUUGAUAUCUACAGGAACUCCGGUGGCGAAGGCGGCACGCUGGACCUUUUCUGACGCUGAGGCGCGAAAGCCAGGGGAGCGAACGGG
rnacentral:rRNA from 1 species